AUUGAACGCUGGCGGCAUGCCUUACACAUGCAAGCCGAACGGCAGCACGGGAGCAAUCCUGGUGGCGUGUGGCGAACGGGUGAGUAAAGUAUCGGAACGUGCCCAGUCGUGGGGGAUAACGUAGCGAAAGUUACGCUAAUACCGCAUACGAUCUAUGGAUGAAAGCGGGGGAUCGCAAGACCUCGCGCGAUUGGAGCGGCCGAUAUCAGAUUAGGUAGUUGGGGGGGUAAAGGCUCACCAAGCCGACGAUCUGUAGCUGGUCUGCGAGGACGACCAGCCACACUGGAACUGAGACACGGCCCAGACUCCUACGGGAGGCAGCAGUGGGGAAUUUUGGACAAUGGGCGAAAGCCUGAUCCAGCCAUGCCGCGUGCAGGAUGAAGGCCUUCGGGUUGUAAACUGCUUUUGUACGGAACGAAAAGGUUUGGCCUAAUAAGCUGAGCUCAUGACGGUACCGUAAGAAUAAGCACCGGCUAACUACGUGCCAGCCGCCGCCGUAA
rnacentral:rRNA from 1 species